rnacentral:ncRNA from 1 species
GGAGUAGGAACAGUGCGUUAAGUACCGGUCGGAUGGGAGGUUGCCGCCGGGCGAAGGAGCGUUCGCGCUCCGCGAUACUGUUACCGCAACCGCCUG